GACGAACGCUGGCGGCGUGCUUAACACAUGCAAGUCGAACGGUAAGGCCCUUCGGGGUACACGAGUGGCGAACGGGUGAGUAACACGUGGGUGAUCUGCCCUGCACUCUGGGAUAAGCCUGGGAAACUGGGUCUAAUACCGGAUAUGAGCUCCUGUCGCAUGGCGGGGGUUGGAAAGGUUUACUGGUGCAGGAUGGGCCCGCGGCCUAUCAGCUUGUUGGUGGGGUAAUGGCCUACCAAGGCGACGACGGGUAGCCGGCCUGGGAGGGCGACCGGCCACACUGGGACUGAGACACGGCCCAGAUUCCUACGGGAGGCAGCAGUGGGGAAUAUUGCACAAUGGGCGAAAGCCUGAUGCAGCGACGCCGCGUGAGGGAUGACGGCCUUCGGGUCGUAAACCUCUUUCAGCAGGGACGAAGCGAGAGUGACGGUACCUGCAGAAGAAGCACCGGCCAACUACGUGCCAGCCGCCGCGGUAA
rnacentral:rRNA from 1 species